rnacentral:ncRNA from 1 species
CAGAACUCGUAGAUAAGGAUUAGUACUUAAGGAAUGCGCGGAUAGAGAGUCGGGUUAGGUGGAAACCGAUACGUAGCAACUGAUGGAAUGGACCUUUGAGUGACUGCUUGAAAGUUGAGUAUGGCAGUUCGAUUGGCGAAUCGUUAUAUCGCUUAUAGUGGUAGCGUUUUUUGCUGCAAUUGAGGUGGUACCGCGGAAUUUCCGCCCUCCAU